rnacentral:rRNA from 1 species
UUUAAGCGUGUAGGCUGGUUUUCCAGGCAAAUCCGGAAAAUCAAGGCUGAGGCGUGAUGACGAGGCACUACGGUGCUGAAGCAACAAAUGCCCUGCUUCCAGGAAAAGCCUCUAAGCAUCAGGUAACAUCAAAUCGUACCCCAAACCGACACAGGUGGUCAGGUAGAGAAUACCAAGGCGCUUGAGAGAACUCGGGUGAAGGAACUAGGCAAAAUGGUGCCGUAACUUCGGGAGAA